rnacentral:lncRNA from 1 species
CACCAUUGGUUGUUUUUUGUAAUUGAGCCUCUUAUGAGAAAAAAGAUCCUUGUAGAUUUGAGGUGAGAGAAGUGAAAAUGGAUAAAGGAGCGAAGACUAUCAAAUGUCCAAAUAGACAAGUUAUGUCUUUCACGGUUAUCAGGAGAAAACAACCAAAGGUUGAUGACAACUCUUAAUCUACUGCUUCUUAAGAUAUUUCAAAACAGUCAUGACUCUUUCAAACUAAUUAUAUUUAUAUAUAGAUCAAUUUGGUUUAUAUAUUUCUUCUUUGUCUGCCACACAUGGUUUUUUUGGUAUGAAUGUUUUUCAGACUGCAAAGAGAAGAAGUUGAGAUGGUGGACUGGGAAAAUCUGCAUAAAGAAAAAGCGGAAGCUGCCAUUAGAAAACUCGAGGUCCUCAUUGAUUUAUUUAAAAUGACAUAAAUGAAUUAAAUAACGAACAUAAUACUUUCUUUUUUUGCCUGCUUCACAUAUGAAGUUGGAAAAACGAAAAAUCAGCAUCAAUGAUAAAAUCUUGAACAAGCUUCCAACGCCCAAGUUGAGAGCACGAGAGAUGAGUCAUUAGAAUCCAGUGACCAGCAACAAGAACUACUCGAA